GCUUCAGCUGAACUUUAUAUUGUUGUUAAUAAAGCCAAAACUCCAGCAAGAAGCUGAGAUUUGUCUCUUUGCAUAAAUUCUGAUUUAGAGCAGGUUGGGAAAGCCUCCUGCUCAGUUUUCCUGCUUCUCUUGAGUUAAAGUUGUGCGUUCUGUAGCUAACCCCAAUAUUCCAUCAAAAUUGGUGUCUGCCUCUUUCACUAGCUGCCAGGGGAACAGCUUGGCAGUUUCAGGUGCAUGCCCUUGAGUAGCUGCUCUCCGCAACAUCCAGCCGGCUCAGACUGGGAGGCGGUGUGGUUCCCCAAUGCCUCGGAGAGGGACAAGCUCUGCCGGACACCAGAAUGGGUGGAGCCAGAGCACUCCAAGCCCACCCUCCAGCGAGUGAGAGGCUGGACAGGAAGUAUAAGAGCUCAACCCCAGAGCUCACUCGAGAGGCAGCUGCUGGAGAGGCCAGACACCUCCAGCCCAGCUCCCGCGGGGCACACUCUAGCAGCCAGCGGUGGACCUGGAGACUGCUCUGACCAGCCAAUACUUGACACGGACCCGCGUGUGGGAGAGUCGCUGAGCCUACCUCAAGGAUCCAGUGGUGAUCGGGCCCCCCCCUGAGGACACCACCUUGACCCAGAAAAUUCAAAGGAUGGACAUCACCACGCUGGAGGGCUAGCACUCUGGGGAUUUUCCUUUUUAACCGGCUUUAUCACGACAUGCAAGGCUUCUCCAUAUUGACACUGAUUAAGUGUAGUGGAAAAUAUGGAUCCAGAAACAUUUUUUUCCUCCUAAGUGCAGCUGAAAGAGUUAACCAGCUUCCUACAUCAGCCUAUUUUUCACUGCAUUCACUGAAACUACUCUAGGCAUUGCCAAUCAGCAACACAGUGGAAGAAAUGACUAUAGCAGAUGAAUGUGAGGAAAUCCUUCUGGCAUUGCAUCUGUGCCACUAUAUUCCUCACUUAGACAUGCAACUUUGAAAAACUUAGCAAGCAGCUGAUGUCCAUCAAGAUUCCUUCUGUCUGUGAGUAAGUUAGUGGGCCAAAUCUGGAAACAUGUUAUAUGGGAAAAUAAUUUGCUGCUGCAUAUGUACAUUAAUGUACAUGCAAAUCUCUCUAGUUCUGGUAUAGUUUCCUUGUUACUGCAUUAUAUUCCAGGAUUUCUUCUUGCUUUUAGAUAUGACAUACAUAUUAUAAAAUUAGCUAUGUGCAGUCAUGUGCUUUGUAAAAUACACAGCCCCAACCAACUUUUACUUAAAAAUAUAAAGCCCGUUAUCAUUAAGCAUCAUUUUACAGCACACCCCCAAUAAUGUCCAAGAACAGUGUCUCCUAACUGCUCCUUCAGGAACAGCACGCAGGAGCACAAGCCAUUUUGGGUCCCACCGAACUAGUGGCUCUGGUACUGUUGUGGGGUGGGAGGACUUCAACAUUUUCUCAGCAGUGGUGGUAAGCUAAAAACCAAACAAAGAAGUAAACAAAACAAAUAAGAAAACCUUGACUAACCAACCCAACUUCAAUCCAGAAUCUCAGUAUAACAAAAUCAGAUAAUGUAAAGGUACCCUGGGGGUAUGCAAGACCUCUCUGGAGGGUACACAGGAGAAAUUGUGUGAUGGAUUUUAUUAAUAAUUUUAUUGCAUUUUCAUAAUAGGCUACUCAGAUGAAGCUUUAAAACUCCAUGGGAACUUUUUAUAUAAAAUGUGGAAGUUAAUUUACUUCAGGAUGUACCAAUGAGAACACAGAUACGCGGACGUACAGAGCCCUCCCCUCCAAUCACUGUGCAGUGUGGGUUUAGUUGCCUAGAAACUGUCCAGUCUAACUGAGUUCAGAACUUAAGGUUUUUUCCCCCUGGUUGUAUAUGUCGCACUGUAACUAUCUAUAUCUGUAAGUAACUGUGAAAUAUGGCCAGAUAGCUAACGACGGAUAGUGUGGAGAAGAACACUCAAUAUCCAUGAUGAGAAGGGUAUGGUAGAUCUGAAAGGCAGCUGGUUGAUCUGGAAGGGGGUACGCAAUAAGAAAAGUCUGGGAACCUCUGUAAUGGGAUUGUGUUGUUAUAAGUGGAAACUUUGUUAGACUCUAACAAGUUAAAGGCAAGGCAUGUUAUAUGCCUCAACAGAUUGUCUCUUCAACAUUUUCAACCAUAAAUAAUUAGUUUACAGCGGUGAUUGUUCAGUAGGUUCUUUCUCUUGCAGUAGAGGGUAUAUUGAAGAAAAGCAGUCUGUUGGAUGCAGAUAAGUAUUUGCUGAAAGUCAGUGUAAGGUAACAGCAAAUUGUUCAGAGGCCUCCACUAAAGCUGAAUUUGAAUUACAGUUGGAGUAAAACCUGCAUGUUAAUGGUGGGUUUUUGCUCACAGCAAUGUAUAUUUUAACUACUCUUUAAAACUAAAAGAUUUGACAAAUGAGAUCAUGUUUCACUACUGGAUUAUAAAUCUAAAGCAAAUUAUGUGUAACCUGAAGAGCACAUAGUGUGGGGUUUUUUUGGACAGCGCCCCAAUAAUUUUUGUAGCAAAUGGUUGUCUUCUACCCAGUCUAGAAUAAUAUGCAUGUGUCUUAAUGAUGAAUGUGCCAAAUACUGUAGUGCUAAUCCAUUUUUUCCUUCUGUUAUUGUGAGACAGACAAUUACUCCUCUGUCUAUGGUUUUAGUUAGGUUUUUUCAGCAGAAGUGGUUUUGUUGCUUUGAAACAGAGGCACAGAGAGGUCAAGUGACUUGCCUUAGUGUGUUGUGCACUAACUGGCCCUGUAGACCUUGCUAUCGCUCAGUAAAAGUUCCCUAGUGUGUGUUGAUGUGGCACCGUUUGAAAUGGGACUGUCAGCAUGCCCUGGGGAACUUUUAGUCUGUGCCUGUAGGCUCCAUGUGGCCCAUUAGUGCAUGGCAUGCCAGUACGCGCUAAAAGUUGCACCCCGGUUGACGAACUAAUGUACCUUGUAGGCAACCCAGAAAUACAACACAACACAGCACCAUAACACAAACCUCCACCACUUGAACUAAAAAGGGAACUCUGUUAGCAGUUGUCAAGGGUGUGCCUGCUGCUAGCACCCCUUGCUGCCGAAGUGUGGCUCUGCUGAGGCCUGUCUCAAUUUCCUUUUCAAUCAGAGCCCUUAAAAAGUCAAUAUAGUCCAGAUAUUCGAAACAUUCCCCUUUCUGAGGUCCGGUUUAUUAAUCCUUAUCAACAUUCAUGGGGUAAUAUUGUAUCCUAUGAACAUAUAUGUUUGGAUAAC